rnacentral:rRNA from 1 species
AACUUGACAAAGAGAACUUAAGCCAAGCACCCCGAAACCAGACGAGCUACCCAAGAGCAGCUAUCAGAGCAAACUCAUCUAUGUGGCAAAAUAGUGAGAANGACUUCUGGGUAGAGGUGAAAAGCCUACCGAGCCUGGUGAUAGCUGGUUGUCCAGAAUAGAAUUUCAGUUCAACUUUAAGCCUUGCCUAAAAGACUAUCAACUCAAAUGCAGGCUUAAAAUAUAAUCUAAAAGGGUACAGCCUUUUAGAAACAGGAUACAACCUUCAAUAGAGAGUAAGCAAACCAAAACCACAUAGUUGGCCUAAAAGCAGCCACCAAUUAAGAAAGCGUUCAAGCUCAAAGAUUCUAUAAACCUUAAUCCAAACAAUAACCCGCGAACUCCUAACCUAAUACUGGACCAUUCUAUUGCACCAUAGAAGAAAUACUGUUAAUAUGAGUAACAAGAAUCAUAUUCUCCCUGCACAAGCCUAUAUCAGAACGGAUAAUCCACUGAUAGUUAACAGCAAGAUAAACCCACGCCACAACUAAAACACUUAUCAAACCAACUGUUGACCCGACACAGGAGUGCUCCCAGGAAAGAUUAAAAGAAGUAAAAGGAACUCGGCAAACACAAACCCCGCCUGUUUACCAAAAACAUCACCUCCAGCAUAACAACUAUUGGAGGCACUGCCUGCCCAGUGACAUCUGUUAAACGGCCGCGGUAUCCUGACCGUGCAAAGGUAGCAUAAUCAUUUGUUCUCUAAAUAGGGACUUGUAUGAAUGGCCACACGAGGGUUUAACUGUCUCUUACUUCCAAUCAGUGAAAUUGACCUUCCCGUGAAGAGGCGGGAAUAAACAAAUAAGACGAGAAGACCCUAUGGAGCUUUAAUUAACUGGCCCAUAAACACAACAACAACAAUCUAAGGAAACAAAAACCACUUUACUGAGCCAGCAAUUUAGGUUGGGGUGACCUCGGAAUACAAAAAAACUUCCGAGUGAUUAAAAUCUAGACCCACAAGUCAAAAUACCUAAUCACUUAUUGAUCCAAAAAGCUUGAUCAACGGAACAAGUUACCCUAGGGAUAACAGCGCAAUCCUAUUUGAGAGUCCAUAUCGAUAAUAGGGUUUACGACCUCGAUGUUGGAUCAGGACAUCCCAAUGGUGCAGCCGCUAUUAACGGUUCGUUUGUUCAACGAUUAAAGUCCUACGUGAUCUGAGUNUCAGACCGGAGCAAUCCAGGUCGGUUUCUAUCUAUUAUGCGUUCCUCCCAGUACGAAAGGACAAGAGAAACGGGGCCAACCCAACACGAGCGCC